CGCUGUUGCUGCAAAUGUCUAUAGAAUAUCGAGUUACAAUACGCCCCAUCUUUAAGCCCAGUCUAUGCGCCGUUAGCCGGAGUACAACAGGACACGUCCUGUGUAAGCCGCCAGCCAAGGGUCAACGCCUGUGCCAUGACUACGUGAAGAGUAGCACUCAUCGGUUGAUAGGCAGCUAUCACAUCUACCAGGAAUAAAAGACAUGAUUGAGACAAUGGAUACCCAGCGUGCCUUGCAGGCAGUGGAGCGUCUCCAGGCCAAGCUGAAGGACCGGGGGGAGGUCCCCACCGAGGAGAAGCUCAGCCUGCUCAAGUCAGUUCUCCAGAGCCCCCUGUUCCACCAGAUUCUUGCCCUGCAGAAGUCUGUCCAGCUCCUCAAAGACCAGCCUGAAUGUAAAAUACACUGAACUGUAACGGCGUUCGUCUGUUGAAGAAAGAGAGUC